GAUGAACGCUGGCGGCGUGCCUAAUACAUGCAAGUCGAGCGAACGGACGAGAAGCUUGCUUCUCUGAUGUUAGCGGCGGACGGGUGAGUAACACGUGGAUAACCUACCUAUAAGACUGGGAUAACUUCGGGAAACCGGAGCUAAUACCGGAUAAUAUUUUGAACCGCAUGGUUCAAAAGUGAAAGACGGUCUUGCUGUUACUUAUAGAUGGAUCCGCGCUGCAUUAGCUAGUUGGUAAGGUAACGGCUUACCAAGGCAACGAUGCAUAGCCGACCUGAGAGGGUGAUCGGCCACACUGGAACUGAGACACGGUCCAGACUCCUACGGGAGGCAGCAGUAGGGAAUCUUCCGCAAUGGGCGAAAGCCUGACGGAGCAACGCCGCGUGAGUGAUGAAGGUCCUCGGAUCGUAAAACUCUGUUAUUAGGGAAGAACAUAUGUGUAAGUAACUGUGCACAUCUUGACGGUACCUAAUCAGAAAGCCACGGCUAACUACGUG
rnacentral:rRNA from 1 species